rnacentral:rRNA from 1 species
GAUGAACGCUGGCGGCGUGCCUAAUACAUGCAAGUCGAGCGAACAGAUGAGGAGCUUGCUCCUCUGACGUUAGCGGCGGACGGGGGAGUAACACGUGGAUAACCUACCUAUAAGACUGGGAUAACUUCGGGAAACCGGAGCUAAUACCGGAUAAUAUAUUGAACCGCAUGGUUCAAUAGUGAAAGACGGUUUUGCUGUCACUUAUAGAUGGAUCCGCGCCGCAUUAGCUAGUUGGUAAGGUAACGGCUUACCAAGGCAACGAUGCGUAGCCGACCUGAGAGGGUGAUCGGCCACACUGGAACUGAGACACGGUCCAGACUCCUACGGUAGGCAGCAGUAGGGAAUCUUCCGCAAUGGGCGAAAGCCUGACGGAGCAACGCCGCGUGAGUGAUGAAGGUCUUCGGAUCGUAAAACUCUGUUAUUAGGGAAGAACAAAUGUGUAAGUAACUAUGCACGUCUUGACGGUACCUAAUCAGAAAGCCACGGCUAACUACGUG